CCUACGGGAGGCAGCAGUGGGGAAUAUUGGGCAAUGGGCGCAAGCCUGACCCAGCGACGCCGCGUGAGCGAUGAAGGCCUUCGGGUCGUAAAGCUCUGUCGUAGAGGAAGAACAGCUCGGGGGCGAAUAAUUCCCGUGUCUGACGGUACUCUGCAAGAAAGCCCCGGCUAACUCCGUGCCAGCAGCCGCGGUAAAACGGAGGGGGCGAGCGUUGUUCGGAAUUACUGGGCGUAAAGGGCGCGUAGGCGGUCAGACAAGUCGGAUGUGAAAUCCUCCGGCCCAACUGGAGAACUGCGUUCGAAACUGUCUGACUUGGGUACAGGAGAGGAGAGUGGAACUCCCAGUGUAGCGGUGAAAUGCGUAGAUAUUGGGAGGAACACCAGUGGCGAAGGCGACUCUCUAGCCUGAUACCGACGCUGAGGCGCGAAAGCCAGGGGAGCGAACGGGAUUAGAUACCCCGGUAGUCC
rnacentral:rRNA from 1 species